GACGAACGCUGGCGGCGUGCCUAAUACAUGCAAGUAGAACGCUGAAGGAGGAGCUUGCUUCUCUGGAUGAGUUGCGAACGGGUGAGUAACGCGUAGGUAACCUGCCUGGUAGCGGGGGAUAACUAUUGGAAUCGAUAGCUAAUACCGCAUAAUAGUAGAUGUUGCAUGACAUUUGCUUAAAAGGUGCAAUUGCAUCACUACCAGAUGGACCUGCGUUGUAUUAGCUAGUUGGUGGGGUAACGGCUCACCAAGGCGACGAUACAUAGCCGACCUGAGAGGGUGAUCGGCCACACUGGGACUGAGACACGGCCCAGACUCCUACGGGAGGCAGCAGUAGGGAAUCUUCGGCAAUGGACGGAAGUCUGACCGAGCAACGCCGCGUGAGUGAAGAAGGUUUUCGGAUCGUAAAGCUCUGUUGUAAGAGAAGAACGAGUGUGAGAGUGGAAAGUUCACACUGUGACGGUAUCUUACCAGAAAGGGACGGCUAACUACGUG
rnacentral:rRNA from 1 species